rnacentral:rRNA from 1 species
GACGAACGCUGGCGGCGUGCCUAAUACAUGCAAGUCGAACGCUGAAGGAGGAGCUUGCUUCUCUGGAUGAGUUGCGAACGGGUGAGUAACGCGUAGGUAACCUGCCUGGUAGCGGGGGAUAACUAUUGGAAACGACAGCUAAUACCGCAUAAGAGUAGAUGUUGCAUGACAUUUGCUUAAAAGGUGCAAUUGAAUCACUACCAGAUGGACCUGCGUUGUAUUAGCUAGUUGGUGGGGUAACGGCUCACCAAGGCGACGAUACAUAGCCGACCUGGGAGGGGGAUCGGCCACACUGGGACUGAGACACGGCCCAGGAUCCUACGGGAGGCAGCAGUAGGGGAUCUUCGGCAAUGGACGGAAGUCUGACCGAGGAACGCCGCGGGAGUGAAGAAGGGUGUCGGGUCGUAAAGCUCUGUUGUAAGAGAAGAACGAGUGUGAGAGUGGAAAGUUCACACUGUGACGGUACCUGAACAGAAAGGGACGGCUAACUACGUG